rnacentral:rRNA from 1 species
GAGUUUGAUCGUGGCUCAGGACGAACGCUGGCGGCGCGCUUAACACAUGCAAGUCGAGCGAGAACCAGUCCUUCGGGACUGGGACAGCGGCGAACGGGUGAGUAACACGUGGGUAAUCGACCCUUGGUACUGGGAUAGCCCGGGGAAACCCGGAUUAAUACCGGAUGGCCCAGCAGCUCUUCGGGGCGGCUGGAAAAGGUAGCUUCGGCCUCCGACCAAGGACGAGCCCGCGGCGGAUUAGCUUGUUGGCGGGGUAACGCCCACCAAGGCGACGAUCCGUAGCUGGUCUGAGAGGACGAUCAGCCACACUGGGACUGAGACACGGCCCAGACUCCUACGGGAGGCAGCAGUGGGGAAUCUUGCGCAAUGGGCGAAAGCCUGACGCAGCGACGCCGCGUGGGGGAAGAAGGCUUUCGGGUUGUAAACCCCUUUCAGGGAGGACGAAGCUACUCGGGUUAAUAGCCCAGAGGGUGACGGUACUUCCAGAAGAAGCCCCGGCUAACUACGUGCCAGCAGCCGCAGU